CCGGGAUUAGAACCCACGACCUCCGACUCCCGAGCCCGGCCUCUUCCCACCGAGCCGCGCCGCUUCUCCGGAGUAGUGAAAUACGGAUAAAAGAGGACGUGCUAUCAAGCAGACACUCUUCUAAACGCUGGGAUUAAUGAGGUUGGACACGUGGAGCUCACGGGAGGCGGGAAACCGGCCCAGAUUUUGGAUGAUCCAGAUGGGGGCGGGCGGUUCCGCAUCCUCCGCCAGCCAGAGGAGACGCUUCCGAUGAAGAGGACACCCGGGCCGCGACCGGGCCGAGCGAAGUUUGGCCCCGGGAGGGGCCCUCACUGGUCUGCUGGGUGACCUCGGACCCUAAGCCCGGUGUGGGCGAGCACUGUCUCUUUUUC